rnacentral:rRNA from 1 species
UACGGGGGGAGCAAGCGUUGUUCGGAUUUACUGGGCGUAAAGGGCGCGUAGGCGGCGCAACAAGUCACUUGUGAAAUCUCCGGGCUUAACCCGGAGCGGCCAAGUGAUACUGUCGUGCUAGAGUGCGGAAGGGGCUACUGGAAUUCUCGGUGUAGCGGUGAAAUGCGUAGAUAUCGAGAGGAACACCAGAGGCGAAGGCGGUUACCUGGACAGUUACUGACGCUCAGGCGCGAAAGCAUGGGGAGCAAAAGGG